GUAUCUACCUAAGCCGCUUGUGACAGAGAGAAUGCCUGUGAUAUACACAGAUUGUGCUAUGGCCGUUCAGGAAAUGUAGCUUUCUCUAAAUCGUUUUAGGUCCUAGUAGUGUGAAAAUGUGUGAGUAAUCUUUACUUCUGCUCCACGGGCACACUGAUGAACAUGGCAGCUCCCAGCUGGGUGUCAUUGUGCUCUGAAAGCUGUUCUUUCAACUUGUUCUGAAUGUUUUUUUUUCUUUUUUCUUUUUUUUUUCUUUAGUCUCAAAGGUAACGAGAAAGCCUAGGUCAGGUUUGACAGAUGAGCGCUGGUGGAUUGCUGCAAGGAGACUUCUGAGAUUCUUGGUGUACUACUUAAAAUUAUUUUCUGUCCUACAGCCAGGCUUGUGUGCCUAGUCAACAACUGUUGUAUUAUCAACAUUGUUUAGGAGCAGAAGGUCCCAGGUCUCUUGCCCUGAUAGCACCACCAGAGGUGUGUCCUUCCUCAGGUGGGUUUCAGUGGUUAGUUUAUAGCUUGUCAUAAAAAAUUAGAGCCUUGGUUUGUCUGUAGCAGUAAGGCAGGCCAAGCUUAUCUGCAAUCUGCCAUUUUAUGUGCUUUAGCCUUCAAAAUAUGCUGAGCUAGCUUGAGACAGGGAAAACUAGUAUGGGUGUCAUGCUAUGCUGUUUGAGAAUGAAGCUGCUCCUCAGGCAGACUUGGGAGGAUCACAAGUAUUGUAGUUAGAAAUUUGCAGUGGGAUAAGCAGAAGGAUGUGUGUCAUAAUUGCAUUUUCAAAGACAGAAGUGGAGACUAGAAAUGUCUCCUUUACCCUGGAAAAGAAACCAGCCCUUUCCCAGGGGAAGCUAAUAAAAUUCUGUUGAUCACCUCAUCCAAAGAGAAAUGUGGAACAUUUUAUUUCAGCUUAGCUUUAUCCCAGCCACGAAAAAGGAAAACGAAAGAACAGAAAAUAGAUGGAACAAGAGCAUGCUGAAUAAAAAUGUUUCCCAUGAUGCUGGAGCAAUGUGGAAAGAAACACAAUGAUUUAAACAGAAGCAUGUCCAAUUAUGGCCAAAUGUAUAGAGCAGAAGAAAUGGCAUUAUACUUGUAAUGUGCAUGCUUUUCAGCUGAAAAGAAAAUGGAUGAGGACAGGUUCACAUGUUACAAUGUACAUUUAGCUGCCCUAAAUGAAUACAGAGUAAACUCUGUAGAUUGAAUUUGAAUGCCAAACCUUCCACGUGAACAAGAGAGAAUCUUGCCUUCCUCAUGCAAGGAGGCAGCAGUAUUAGAGCAACCUCUAGGAUAUGUCCCAUGUUGAUAGGACCCUUAUGUGGUGGUGAAUUGUUUUCACAUAGGUUUCCUAGGUGAGUCCUGAGAUAUGCCAAUUAAAAUGUCUAUGUUUUAGAAGAUAGUGAGAGAAGGAACCAAUAGUUUUGGGUUGCUAGCACCUUUACAGCAAUUAGUAUUAAAAGAAACAAUACUCAGAUGAAGGGCAUGCAAAACUGCUUGAAAAUCUAUGGUGAAUCACUCUGUACUGCUUGAGUGGUACUGGAAGAGGAAACAGAGGGUUGUAGCCUUGCUGUCAAGAUCACUUCAGGAUGCUGGAUUUUGUUUGCCGGAAGGAAGCUUGCUAGGUAACUUGGUGGCAUAAGUAAACAAGGUUUCCACUCAGGGAAUCAUUUCUGUGGCUGUGCAGUUAAGUCAUCUUUGUGCGAUGGGAUUAUUUGUAGCUCUUGUGGUCCAUGAUGUCCUACGCUGCCUCCACUUCUGCUUGUGAUCUCAUCAGACCAGAGCCAUGGCCUCUUCCUUCUGGGUGCCAACCAUUGCAGGCCGGUGCUUGUCACUGCUAUGCUUGUCAGGGCCAGGCUAAGUUGGGUGAUGUAGCCCCCAACAGCUCAUGGCUCCUGCUGCAUUCAGGAAAAAGGCUAACAGGAUAUUCAGAUGGAAAGCAUGUUCUGGUGCUGCUGGUGCAUCCCAUGGUGAUUUCUAUGGGCUUGUUUUGGUAGCACAUAUGGGCAGGGCAAUGGAUUUGGCCACCUUGACUCUUUCAGUUCUUAGCCUUGGGAAAGCACUGCCUAUCCUUAGCACCAAUGCCUGCACUGUGCAGUGUUGUUUGCACUCAUUGCUGCCAGAGGUUAUGAAUUCAAUUACAAGGAGAAAUGUUGUACUAUGAGCUGUUCAUUAUUCUCUUUAAUUAUGACUGGUAUCAAAGGCAAAGGUCUCUAUAGUCUGUUGCCUCCUUUCUUUCAAGUCAGCGUUCUGCUAAUUGUCAUGAUAUAAUCAAGGAAGAAAUGUUGUUAGUGGUUUGUUGCUUAUUUACUCGUUCCUUAUAUUACUUUAAAGAUUUAAUCAUUAUCUCACCUUGAUUUAAAACAAAAAUACUCCUCUGACCCUGGUGUGAUAUGGCACCUCUAAAUCAUAGAAUUGCAGGGGUUGGAAGGGACCUCUAGAGAACAUCUAGUCCUGCCAUUUGCUAAAGCAAUUUCACAACAAUAGUUGCUCAGGAAAAUGUCUAAAGGAAAGUGGGUCUGGAAUAUCUCCAGAAAAGGAGACUUCACAACCUUUCUGAGCAGCCUGUUCCAGUGCUCUGUCACCCUCAAAGUAAAUAAGUUUUUCCUCAUUUUUGUAUGGAAUUUUCUAUGUUUCAGUUUGUCUCUUGUUCUGUGGCUGGGCACCUCUGAAAAGACCAUUGCCAUUUUGGACCCUGCUCCCUCAACUCCUUCACUUUAAAGCCCACCUCAGAAGGUUGGCUGGCCUGCUGCCAAAGAUUGUCCUGUCUCUUCUAGACAGGUGAAUCUCAUCCCUACCUAAUGUUAUAAUCUUCAUAGAAAGUCCCAUUGUCAUAAAAAAACAAACUCAAAAUCCAUAUAAUUUUCUAAGUACAAAGGCAUGUUUUUUGUCAGACAUUUUCUCUUGCUUUUCUAGUAAGUCAGCCUAAUCUCAGGUGUAACUCACAGGACAUUUUAGUAAAAGUUUCUUUUUGUAGGAAUACAUACUAAUGUAUUUUUACUUUUUAGUUGUUGUUGUUUUUUGUAAGACUCAAGGUUAUACGUUGUCCUACUUAUUGUGUGCUGAAAUAUUGUACUACCACUGUUCAGUAUUAUAAGAGACAGGUAUGAGAUAUUGUGUGUUGAAUGUUAUUUUUAAUUUCAGAUUUGAAUUGUUUGCUAAAUGGUAAACUUGAUGGUGAAUAAUGGAAAGAAAUCUUUAGUGGUUGUAAAAAAUAUCUGUAGACACUCUCAGUACCCAAAAUGAUUUAAUUACAGUUACCAUUAGGAAUAGGAUAUUUGUUUUAGAUUACAGUAAGAAUUAAAUGGCAAUCUCUAAUGCUUCUGCUGGUACAAUGUCAGCAGAAAAUACUGAGCACCAUGCAAAGGAAAAUCCUCGUGUGUGGUUUUGUUUCUUACUCAUUUAAACAGUACAAUAACUUCCAGGGAAAAAUAAGAAAAACAUGCAACUAUCUGGCAAUGUUCUGGGGAGAUAUUUCUCAUUCUCUCUUCUAGAUGGAGAUUAAAAUAAUCCAUAACAACAACAAAAAAAAGUGUAUUUCAGUCUUUCUCCUCCCUUUACUCCCCUGCUCAAUUUUCUCUUUCCUGAGCAGAAAGUUACAGGUUCUGUUUUCACAACACUUCGUAAAGACUACUUGAAAUAUAAGGCACUUUUAUUUUUCUUACUACCAUUGAACAUGAGGUGAGUGUGUUGUCUUAAUCAGUUUCUGACUGGACAUGCGCACACAGUGUUUUUAAAAAUAAUUCAUGGCUUAUACCAACCAUGACAGUCUGCAUCACGGAGAUAUAGACUGAGCCAAGUCUGUCUCCAGAGUUGAGUCCUUUAGUUUUAUGUUUUUAUGGGCUGUUGAAGCAGCCUGAAAAACCUCUGUUCCUGCACACAAGACUUAACCAUGUCCUCACUGCCAGGACAAGAGCAGAAUUCUGCUGUGGCUUACUCUAUCAGUAGGCAGAAAAGACAUAGGGCUCCCAAAUAGGCAUUAGAUCCCAAAUACCUGCUGAGAGGUGUUUUAAUUCUUACUGUAGUCACUAUCCUAGUGGUGUAUGUCUGAAUGUUACCAGCUACGAUUUCCACAUUCUUUUCCGUGAUAAAGCCUGUAAAAAUAAACAAGACUGCGUCUUGGCUACUGCUAAAAGCUUUUUUUCUGUGUAAUUACCAUAUGUGGCAGGUAUCCCUUAUGAUUUAGCUCAAGGUGCCUGCAGUGCUUAGUGUUUGCUUCUGAAAGCUGUGUGCACUAUGAAAAUGUAAGUUAAUUCAAAAUUAAUUACUUACCAUAUAAAUUGAUUGAAGCUUGAUGUAAUUCUCUGGGAUCACACAUUACCUUUUGGCAAAAACCAAAGGAAAGGGCAAAUGAAACAUACAGCAAACUUGAUCUGCUUCCAAAUACAUCUGUCUUUAGCAAUGUUUAAAGUACAAGUUCUGUAUGUGUGCAAAUUCCUUUGGUAAUUGAUUAUUUUGUUCACAGAGAAUGUCUCUUUCUGUCAGCUUUUGCAUGAAAGUGCGAUCAGUAUUAAAGCAUCAGCUGGUUGACCAGCACCACAGUUCUCUAGCAUGUUUGUAUGUGGUAGCAAAAGGAGAGGGGUUCCUCCAGGUGCUCUCUCCAACUGAUGCUGCCUGUUGUCUGAUUGACCCAUAACUUUUUCCUCCCCUUUGAUUCUAUGCAAAUUACCUAAAGUCUUAUUUUCAUGAAUAAUACUUCUGAAGGAAUUAUUUCUCUUGUUUGAAAGUAGGUUAAUUUGUUUAGAGUCUUAUUUACGAUUGCGAAUCGUAAACACAGUUUAAAGUGGAUGGUUCAGGAGCUAAGAAAUAACUGGAUAUUGAUAUCUGGACUGUGAUGUUCAUUUUUUCUUGACUAUGGAAACAUAAACUCUAGUGCAGUUUUUGCAGUGAGGCUGUCCCCGUUUAGUUUGUUUGUUUGUUUUGUGUGUGUGUGUCAUGCCAGGUAGAUCUUGCUUUACUAGACAUGACAAAUUUCACCUGCUAGUUUUUAAACUUUGGUUCUGUCAAGCAGCUUGAGCUCUGCUCAAAAGCACAGAAGGAAGCAGGUUAUAAUAUGAAGGAAAUAAUAUGCAGGAAUUAUGUAAAGAACUUCUUGAAUGCCUCCGUCAUUCUUCUGACUUCAAGAACUUCAAAGGUAGUUUCUUGUGCGAAACACUUGGCUUGAUACCAGCCAUAACAAAUACAGAAUUGUGUUAGUAUGUUCACAUCAAACUUUUGCCAAGAUCUGUCAAAACACCAGGUUGGCCUUCUGUAUAGGCUUCAUAAUUGCUUUCGGGCACUUCCCUGGGUGUUUUCAGAUCAGCAUUAGCACGUGUUACAAAAAGUACAAUCCAGAACGUGCUUCACGUCCUGUUACUCAGCAUGAAGGGCACACAUGCUGCUGUCUGAGCAUUGUGGAUAUGGCAACACAGAUAGUUAAAGGUAGGCUGUCCUAGUGUCCUGGUGAGUAUUUUGUUAGUGUUGGCCAUGAGGUCUAUAUCAGGUAGUAUAAGAGAAGGAGAGAGAGAUGGUAAUUACUGAGUGAGAUGAACAUUGAGCUUGUAUAUUUCUCGGAAUUUAGUAGGAGAAUAGAAAAAGUAAUUUUCUGUAGCCAACAGUGAAGUAUCUGUAUUUCUGUGACCAGCGGAGAAGCAGAAAGCAACCGUAUAUGGUCUGAAAUUCUCUGAAGAAUGUGCAAUAAAUAGACAGCUGAGAAGAACACUCUACAGGGUCUCAUGAGCACGGCACUUCAAGAGGAAAAGAGAUCUACUUCCAACUUAAGGAACAGUUAGCACUACAGGGCUUGUUUAUUUAGCGUGGAGAAAAGACUAAGAGAAGUUCUUAAAAUAAUAAAUUCUCUCUGUGUAGAAUGGUGUAACAGUAAAAUUGUGGUCAUGAACUAGGGACAUUAGAUUGAGAAAUGGUACUUGUUCUGGUGUGGUUUGGUGGCUUUUUUGCUUUACUAUUGAAUGCUCUUGUGUGUGCUGACUCAGUUGCACGAGGCACUUGGAGGCCCAGCAGAAGCAUGUGCCAGCACCCAGCUUGGCUUGUGGAUCUAGAAAGGGGUGGAUGCCAUAUCAUAGACACUUUAUGAAAGCUAUUUGAAACCAUCUGCCUCAUGAAAGGUCAGUGGGCAUGAGAAGCAACACCACAGUGCAGGGGACUGAGGCAUGGUGCUGGCUCUGUUGAGCAGUUCCUCAGAACUCAGCUGUGGAACUGCAGAUUGCCAAUCUGCUCCCUUUUCAUGGCCAUGAAAAUCUGAGGCUUUGGAGGAUGAGCAAAGAGAAGGGAGAUGAAGCUCCUUUUACUUGCUUGUCUUGUGUGCUGUGUGUGGUCAUCGUGAACAGGCCAUCAUCCAUCCUUGGCUGUGUCCCUCUGAGGACAAUUCAGAUUUCUCUUCCUGUUGCUUUCUAGAAAUAGUACCCAAGAAGAUAAUAAUUGAUGAUGGGGAAUUGCCAUUAUCCUGGGCUUAAACCAGUCCUGCUGAAUUCCUGUUGCAUUAGUUGCAAUAGCUAAAAGAAUUUACCCCAUUGCAUCUGUUGUAGUAGUUGUGAGUGGGUGCUUUCAAAAUUUUCCCUGUGUAUUUCUUUUCCUUUUUUAAUUAUUUAGACAAAAAUAGUCAGUGUUGUUUCAGUAAGAAUGUCUGCCAG